rnacentral:rRNA from 1 species
GAUGAACGCUGGCGGCGUGCUUAACACAUGCAAGUCGAGCGAACAGACCCUGCGCUUGCUCCUCUCUCGUUAGCGGAGGACGGGUGAGUAACACGUGUAUAACCUACUUAUAUGACUGGGAACACUACGGGACACCGGCUCAAAUCCCGUAUAAUAUAUUGAUCCGCGGGGUUCAAUGGUGAAUGACGGUGUUGGGGGAACUUCUAGAUGGUUCUGCGCCGCUUUAGCUAGUUGGUAAGGUAACGGCUUACCAAGGCAACGAUGCGUAACCGACCUGAGAGGGUGAUCGGCCACACUGGAACUGAGACACGGUCCAGACUCCUACGGGAGGCAGCAGUAGGGAAUCUUCCGCAAUGGGCGAAAGCCUGACGGAGCAACGCCGCGUGAGUGAUGAAGGUCUUCGGAUCGUAAAACUCUGUUAUUAGGGAAGAACAAAUGUGUAAGUAACUAUGCACGUCUUGACGGUACCUAAUCAGAAAGCCACGGCUAACUACGUG